GUUAGAGAAAAGUGAAUCACCUCUCUCCGUUCAUCUCUGGAGCCAGGAAGAGGGAGGCUCUGGCGCGAGGCGGACUGUGACAAGCAGGGCAAUGCUGAUAUCAAUGUUUUUGACUCCGCCCAGACCACCUGACGCUCUAAUUAAGGUGUAGUGUUGUGCGGAAAGUGAAACAAAUAGUGAAAAAAAAUGUGAAGAAGCUGGAGGACUCUUCUCUUCGCAUCGAUCAAGACUCGGGGAAACAACGGCCCGGGAAACCUCAGGGGGAAGAUAAUGCUCCAGCCACACCUUGUACCACCACCAACGCCAUCACCAUCACCACCACCAUCACCAGGAAAGGAACAAACUGCCCGGACACAAAAGGAGGAAAAUAAUAUCUUAACCACACCCUACCCUGUCUGCCACACCACCACCGCCACCACUACCACCACCAUCACCACCCAUCACCACCACCACCACCACAUUAGGUAUUCAAGUGGCAAGAUUCUAAGUGGCCACGCCCCCCGCAGCUCCCACGCGUACCCUGCCAGGAAAGAACUCCGCCCUUCAGGCACGCCACGUGACUGACUGGGAGUGUUAAAGGGUUCCCUGAAUACCUGGGAUGUGGUGUUUGGGGUGUUUGGUGAUGAGUCGGUUUAAUUUAUGUUAUUUAUUCAGUAUUUUUCAACGAUUUAUUUAUUUUAUUUUUUCUCAGUAUGUCUCUUCUGUACUUUUUUUUUUUUUCUAUGAUGUCUGUGGUGUUGAGUGGUGUGGUGACUGCAGUGGUGUUUUGACUUAAUGUGUCUCAUUCUCUUUCUCUCCUUCUCUUCCUGAUUAUAGGUUUUCUUUUUACGCAAUGUUCAUCUCUUUUUAACUACUGUUUGUUUAUUUAUUUAUUUAUUUAUUUAUUUAUUUAUUUAUUUUUUGUCGUAUAUUUUAAUCUAGUUUCAUCUCGGUACAUUUAUUCAGAUCCCUCUAAGUAAGGUUUUCUUUUCUCUUAUAUUUUAUCGAGUUUUCUUUCAUUAUAUCCCAUUCUGUCCUUUCCUAAUGCUCUUUUUUUAUGAUUUAUUCAGUUUUACAUCAUUACAUUUCUUUCCAUCCACUCCUAAUACCUAAGUUCUUUUUAUUUAUUUAUUUAUUUUUUUCGUCUAUGUUUCAUCCAGUUUUAAUCUUCCUAUCGUUUUUAAUAAGGUUUUCUUUGAUCUUACAUUCUGUCCAGCUUCAUCUUAUCACAUCCCGUUCCAUCCUUUCCUAAUAAGACCUUUUGCCACACACGUUUACCUUCGUCCAUUGCAUCCUGUAUUAUAUUUGUCCUAUUUUUAUCGUUUUAAGUUCUCUCGCAAUACAGUUUUCUCCACGGUUUAACUCCCUAUACUUGUAACAUAUCUAGUUGGGGCAAAAGAAGAGAAAGAAAAGAAAAAUAAGAAGCUAAAUAGUCAAAAUGAAGAGAAGUAUUGUAAUUCCUCGUUUUCUUCACGUUUUGACUCUCCAUAUUUGUAACAUGUCUAGUUAUAACAAAAAGAAACAGAAAAAAGAAAAGGAAAAUGAUAAGCUAAAUAAAAUAAAAUAAAGUACCGUAAUUCUCUAGAAAAAAAAUC